UUAAUCCAGUCUUCUGUUUGUUUCCAAUCCGAAUAAAUUUUAGUGGGAUUAGGAGGAACUUGCUCGCUAACUGGUCUUAGCGAGGCCCCCGAUUCGAAGAGGACUGCUAAGCCGCCCUCUAAUCCCGCCAUCUCUUUUCUCCUUUGCAGCUUGCUCCUCGUCCCUUCGCACCUUCGCCCUUUCCCUUCUCCUUCCUUGUUGCACCACCUCGUAGCCGUCCAACAUAUAAACAAUCGACGACGGACCUGUAUCGCUGGCGAUGGUCUUCGUUUGGUGCUUUCUGCUGCGUCGUGAAAUCGGAGUCCCAGCAGCAGAAGGAAAAGAAGACGAACAAGUCUGGGUUGGAUUUGGGUGCCCUAGCUUUCUGAUUUCUAAAUUCGUUUGGAUUUUCUGGUCUUUCAUGUCGAUCUCUGUUGAAUUGUAGUUGGGUAGAGAUGCUUGACGGAUUCGGAGGUAUUGCUGUUGUAUCUUUUUGGAGUUGUUUGCCCAUGAUAUCUGAUGUCCGGAUUUAUUAUCUGUGGCUGGACAUUUCGUUUAACAGAGCGUACAUAGAAGUUUACAGGUCUUUGCGACACGGUUAGCUUUGAUUCUCAACAGCUUUCUGUUACUUUAACCCUGCAAACAUUUACUUUCCGCUACAUUGUUUAUUAGUCGGUUAUUUUUAUUGCCGUGGUAGCAUUAGUUUAACUUUAGUGUUCAUAAAUGACACUCAAAAUAGUAUCUACCAAGUUAUCGUUCAUUGCUCAUGUGUUCUAGUUGGCAUUUGUAUCUAGAAGUCUACAUGAGCAUCUCUUUAUGGUUCCCUUUGUAUUGCACACUGACCAUAAAAGUUUGAUCCUCCAGCUCCAUUUGUAUUGCACACUGAGGGACCAGAGACAAUUGUUGCAUUCUAUUUAUGAUGAUGUAAUCUGUGCAUUUGGAACGAUGUAAUCUGUGCAUUUGGAAGGCUUGGCUACAUGUAUAGGUGUGACAAAUACAACAUUAAACCAGACCUUGUAUCUGUGGCAAAGUCUCUUCUUCUGAAUAUAUGCCAUUCAGCAUUCUUGUGAGCCCAGAAGUUUCAGAUGUGCUACACUCUCAGAGCAGCGAGCUUGGUUCUUUUUCUCAUGGGUUUACAUAUUCUGGACACCCUGUAGCCUGUGCAGUUGUGAUUGAAGCACGCAAGAUCUACACAAGUAGUUGAAGGGCACUGAAGAAUAUGUGAAGGAACUCAAGUUUAAGCACAAGUAGUUUAAGCACUGAACAAUCACGUCAUAUGGUUUAUAAAAUAUAAUUUAAAUAGAUAAUCUCUUUAGCAUUACAUUUUCAGGUAUACCAAAAACUCUUAGGACGAUAUAAAUAUAGUAAUUAGCUACAAUGUACAGCUGGAAACUAAAGCAGUGAGCCUCCACAUCAGCACAAGACCGUCAACAUAACUAAACUGAAUCAUUGCUGAAACAAUUGAGGCACAGCAGCACUAUGGUGGAGGGCGGGCAGUACAAAUCUCUACCGGCAGCACACAAAUGUAUAUUCCAUCUCCUCAACAUCCUAGGAGUUCUCCUCCAGGUGAAGCAUGCGACCGGAAAUUUACCGUCUCCAUUUGUCACAAACCACAAGACUGUUGUGAUGUUGAUUGCUGAUUUACUCACUUACGCGGGGACAUUGGAGACUACCAAGAUUCUCCAAGCUUCCAACAAUACAAAUAUAUAUGAAUUGAUGAAUUGAACAACAUCAGCCUUUUGUGUGGAACUCUUGCGUUGGUUCUACUGGUGCUCCUCCUCGUUCCAGCUUUCGGGUGGUUUACUCUUGCAUGUUGGGCCGUAUAUUUUGUGAUAAUUGGGACCAAGUCCUACCAAACGCUAAGAACAGUGUACUGACGCUGUUCCUUAUGUCCGUGACAAAAUGAAGGAGGUGAUGAGGUUGACCGGCAGCGAAGAACCCCAGAACCAGAACGGGGACGCCUGAGUAUGAUAACUAAGCUGGAAUGCAGAGUACAACUUUUCAAAACAUGUGUUUUCUUUUUUUCGUCCAAAUCAAAGAAAAAAGAGAGAACAUCCUAUCGGAUCAAAUCUAAUCGUUACUUGAUAAUUGUAUUUCACAAAUGCAUGUACCAGUAAGACUUCAUCUUGUCAAUUUCUCUGUCUUUGUAGUACAAGGCAUGUGCUUUUUUAUAAUGGAUGCAGACCUUAAUGUUAAUCCUCUCCGUG